rnacentral:rRNA from 2 species
UGGCUCAGGAUGAACGCUAGCUACAGGCUUAGCACAUGCAAGUCGAGGGGAAACGACAUCGAAAGCUUGCUUUUGAUGGGCGUCGACCGGCGCACGGGUGAGUAACGCGUAUCCAACCUGCCCACCACUUGGGGAUAACCUUGCGAAAGUAAGACUAAUACCCAAUGACGUCUCUAGAAGACAUCUGAAGGAGAUUAAAGAUUUAUCGGUGAUGGAUGGGGAUGCGUCUGAUUAGCUUGUUGGCGGGGUAACGGCCCACCAAGGCGACGAUCAGCAGGGGUUCUGAGAGGAAGGUCCCCCACAUUGGAACUGAGACACGGUCCAAACUCCUACGGGAGGCAGCAGUGAGGAAUAUUGGUCAAUGGACGAGAGUCUGAACCAGCCAAGUAGCGUGCAGGAUGACGGCCCUAUGGGUUGUAAACUGCUUUUAUAAGGGAAUAAAGUGAGUCUCGUGAGACUUUUUGCAUGUACCUUAUGAAUAAGGACCGGCUAAUUCCGUGCCAGCAGCCGCGGUAAUACGGAAGGUCCGGGCGUUAUCCGGAUUUAUUGGGUUUAAAGGGAGCGUAGGCCGGAGAUUAAGCGUGUAGUGAAAUGUAGACGCUCAACGUCUGCACUGCAGCGCGAACUGGUUUCCUUGAGUACGCACAAAGUGGGCGGAAUUCGUGGUGUAGCGGUGAAAUGCUUAGAUAUCACGAAGAACUCCGAUUGCGAAGGCAGCUCACUGGAGCGCAACUGACGCUGAAGCUCGAAAGUGCGGGUAUCGAACAGGAUUAGAUACCCUGGUAGUCCGCACGGUAAACGAUGGAUGCCCGCUGUUGGUCUGAAUAGGUCAGCGGCCAAGCGAAAGCAUUAAGCAUCCCACCUGGGGAGUACGCCGGCAACGGUGCAACUCAAAGGAAUUGACGGA